GGCUGUCUUAAGCAUUGUGGGCUGUGUAGCAGCCAUCCUAACCCUCUAAUUGAGAGAUACUAACAUCACCCUCUGUCAAGUUUUGGCACCAGAAAUGCAUCCAGAGUUGCCAGAUGUACCUGGAGGGAAGUGGAGGAGCUGAAGUACCUUCAGUUUAGGCCCACAUAUGACCACGUAGAUCUAGGCAGAUUAAACAGCCCCAAUACAAGCUUCCUGUUCUCAGACUGCUGGAAUUGUGAGCCUGAUUCAGUGUCUCAAGAACUCUUUAAGACUAGUAUACAACUUCCCAGUGGGCAAGCUUCUAAGAUUAUAUAUGUGCAUCAGUCAUAG
rnacentral:lncRNA from 1 species